rnacentral:rRNA from 1 species
UCAGACCUUUACUUGAAAAAAUAAGAGUGUUCAAAGCAGCCUUGCUCGAAUACGUAGCAUGAAUAAUAAAAUAGGGCGUGCGUUCUAUUUUGUGGUUCUAGAGACGCCGCAAUGAUUACAAGAACAGUCGGGGCAUCAGUAUUCAGUGUCAGAGGUGAAAUUCUUGGAUUUACUGAAGACUAACUACUGCGAAAGCAUUUGCAAAGGAUGUUUUCAUUAAUCAGUGAACGAAAGUUAGGGGAUCGAAGACGAUCAGAUACCGUCGUAGUCUUAACCGUAAACUAUGCCGACUAGGGAUCGGGCGAUGUUCUUUUUCUGACUCGCUCGGCACCUUACGAGAAAUCAAAGUUUUUGGGUUCUGGGGGGAUUAUGGUCGCAAGGCUGAAACUUAAAGAAAUUGACGGAAGGUCACCACCAGGCGUGGAGCCUGCGGCUUAAUUUGACUCAACACGGGGAAACUCACCAGGUCCAGAUGAAAUAAGGAUUGACAGAUUGAGAGCUCUUUCUUGAUUUUUCAGGUGGUGGUGCAUGGCCGUUCUUAGUUCGUGGGGUGACUUGUCUGCUUAAUUGCGAUAACGAGCGAGACCUUACUCUGCUAAAUAGCCAGGCUAACUUUGGUUGGUCGCCGGCUUCUUAGAGAGACUAUCAACUCAAGUUGAUGGAAGUUUGAGGCAAUAACAGGUCUGUGAUGCCCUUAGAUGUUCUGGGCCCCACGCGCGCUACACUGACAGAGCCAACGAGUUCUUUUCCUUGUUCGAAAGAAUUGGGUAAUCUUGUUAAACUCUGUCGUGCUGGGGAUAAAGCAUUGCAAUUAUUGCUUUUCAACGAGGAAUGCCUAGUAAGCGCGUGUCAUCAGCAUGCGUUGAUUACGUCCCUGACCUUUGCACUCACCGCCCGUC